rnacentral:rRNA from 1 species
GCAGUCGAACGAAGUAGCAAUACUUAGUGGCAGACGGGUGAGUAACAUGUAGGUAUCUUCCCAUUGGUGAGGAAUAACACGAGGAAACUUGUGCUAAUACCUCAUAAGUCUUUACGGAGAAAGCUUUAUGCGCCGAUGGAUGAGCCUGCACUUGAUUAGUUUGUUGGUAGGGUAAUGGCCUACCAAGACAAUGAUCAAUAGCUGAUUUGAGAGGAUGAUCAGCCACAUUGGGACUGAGACACGGCCCAAACUCCUACGGGAGGCAGCAGUAGGGAAUCUUGCACAAUGGGGGAAACCCUGAUGCAGCGAUGCCGCGUGAGUGAAGAAGGCCUUUGGGUUGUAAAGCUCUUUCGUCGGGGAAGAAAAUGACUGUACCCGAAUAAGAAGGUCCGGCUAACUUCGUGCCAGCAGCCGCGGUAAUACGAAGGGACCUAGCGUAGUUCGGAAUUACUGGGCUUAAAGAGUUCGUAGGUGGUUAAAAAAGUUGGUGGUGAAAUCCCAGAGCUUAACUCUGGAACUGCCAUCAAAACUUUUUAGCUAGAGUAUGAUAGAGGAAAGCAGAAUUUCUAGUGUAGAGGUGAAAUUCGUAGAUAUUAGAAAGAAUACCGAUUGCGAAGGCAGCUUUCUGGAUCAUUACUGACACUGAGGAACGAAAGCAUGGGUAGCGAAGAGGAUUAGAUACCCUCGUAGUCCAUGCCGUAAACGAUGUGUGUUAGACGUUGGAAAUUUAUUUUCUGUGUCGCAGCGAAAGCAAUAAA